GACGAACCGAGCGAACGUUAUUCGGAAUCACUGGGCUUAAAGGGUGCGUAGGCGGGCCCGCGAGUCAGGGGUGAAAUCCCACGGCCCAACCGUGGAAGUGCCUCUGAUACCGCGGGCCAGAGGGGGACAGGGGCAUGCGGAACUUCCGGUGGAGCGGUGAAAUGCGUAGAUAUCGGAAGGAACACCGGUGGCGAAAGCGGCGUGCUGGAUCCCUACUGACGCUGAGGCACGAAAGCCAGGGGAGCAAACGGG
rnacentral:rRNA from 1 species